rnacentral:rRNA from 1 species
CGGCGUGCUUAACACAUGCAAGUCGAACGAGAAGAGAUGAGAAGCUUGCUUCUAUUGAUUCGAGUGGCAAACGGGUGAGUAACGCGUAAGCAACCUGCCCUUCAGAUGGGGGACAACAGCUGGAAACGGCUGCUAAUACCGAAUGCGUUCUUUUUGUCGCAUGGCAGAGGGAACAAAGAUCCGUCGCUUGCGGAUGGGGAUGCGUCUGAUUAGUUAGUCGGCGGGGUAACGGCCCACCGAGACGACGAUCAGUAGGGGUUCUGAGAGGAAAGUCCCCCACAUUGGAACUGAGACACGGUCCAAACUCCUACGGGAGGCAGCAGUAGGGAAUCUUCCACAAUGGGCGCAAGCCUGAUGGAGCAACACCGCGUGAGUGAAGAAGGGUUUCGGCUCGUAAAGCUCUGUUGUUGGAGAAGAACGUGCGUGAGAGUAACUGUUCACGCAGUGACGGUAUCCAACCAGAAAGUCACGGCUAACUACGUG